UAAAGCAACUAAGGGCGCAUGGUGGAUGCCUUGGGUCUGAGAGGCGACGAAGGACGUGGUAAGCUGCGAUAAGCCAGGAAGAGCUGCACACAAGCAUUAUAUCCCUGGAUUUCCGAAUGGGUCAACCCACUAUACUGAAGGUAUAGUACUCGUAAGAGAGCCAACCCCGAGAACUGAAACAUCUAAGUACCGGGAGGAAAAGAAAACAAUAGUGAUUCCCUGAGUAGUGGCGAGCGAAAUGGGAAUAGCCUAAACUUGAGCGGCGUGCCGCUUGAGGGUUGUAGGACUGCAUUUAGAAAUUGUCAUCAAGUUGAAUCUUUUGGAAAAUUGAGCCAUAGAGGGUGAUAGCCCCGUAAGCACAAAUUGACAAGGACGAGCAGUAUCCUGAGUAAGGCGGGACCGGAGAAAUCCUGCCUGAAUCUGCCAGCACCAUCUGGUAAGGCUAAAUACUCCUCAGACACCGAUAGUGAACCAGUACCGUAAGGGAAAGGUGAAAAGCACCCUAAACAAGGGAGUGAAAUAGUACCUGAAACCGUGCGCCUACAAGCGGUCGGAGCAUCGUAAGAUGUGACGGCGUGCCUUUUGCAUAAUGAGCCUACGAGUUGCUCCUCACUGGCGAGGUUAAGUUUUUAACAACGGAGCCGUAGCGAAAGCGAGUCCAAAUAGGGCGCUUAGUCAGUGGGGGCAGACGCGAAACUUUGUGAUCUAUCCAUGGGCAGGUUGAAGGUGUGGUAACACACACUGGAGGACCGAUGGAUAGGGGUGAAAGGCCAAUCAAACUGAGAGAUAGCUCGUUCUCCCCGAAAUGUUUUUAGGAACAGCCUCGGAUUAUGAAGUCUGUUAGAGGUAGAGCUACUGAUUGGGCUAGGGGGCUUCACCGCCUACCAAACCCUGACAAACUCCGAAUGCUAACAGAUAUCUCCGGGAGUGAGGCUACGGGUGCUAAGAUCCGUGGCCGAGAGGGAAAUAACCCAGAAUAGCAGCUAAGGUCCCUAAUACGUAGUUAAGUUGAUCAAACGAAGUAGAGCUUCUAUAACAGCCAGGAUGUUUGCUUGGAAGCAGCAAUUCAUUUAAAGAGUGCGUAACAGCUCACUGGUCGAGAGGCUCUGCACGGAAAAUAAUCGGGCAUCAAACUACGAACCGAAGCUCUAUGAUUGCCACUUGGUGGUAUAUCGGUAGGGGAGCAUUGAAAUCUGCAUCGAAGGUGUACGGCGACGUAUGCUGGAGCGAUUUCAAAAGAAAAUGUAGGCAUAAGUAACGAUAAAAUAGGUGAAAAACCUAUUCGCCGAAAGUCUAAGGGUUCCUGAUCAACGUUAAUCGGAUCAGGGUUAGCCCGGUCCUUAGUCAAACCCGAAAGGGGUAGAUGAUGGAAAGCAGGUUAAUAUUCCUGCGCCUGCUAUACAUUAAAAGUGACGGAGAAUGCUAGUUACAUAGGCUGACGGAUUAGCCGAGCGGAUCCUUCGGGUGAAGCGCAGUAAUGAAAGUUCUUCCAAGAAAAGCGAGUAUAGCAGCCGGUACCGCAAACCGACACAGGUAGACGGGAUGAGUAUUCUAAGGCGCUCGGGUGAGCCGUGGAGAAGGAACUAGGCAAAUUGACGCUGUAACUUCGGGAUAAAGCGUACCUACUUCGGUAGGUCUCAGUAAAAUGGUUCAACCAACUGUUUAACAAAAACACAGGGCCCUGCAAAAUCGAAAGAUGACGUAUAGAGCCUGAUACCUGCCCGGUGCUGGAAGGUUAAGGAAGGGUGUUCGGCGCAAGCCAAAGCUCCUGACUGAAGCCCCAGUAAACGGCGGCCGUAACUAUAACGGUCCUAAGGUAGCGAAAUUCCUUGUCGGGUAAGUUCCG
rnacentral:rRNA from 1 species